rnacentral:rRNA from 1 species
GAUGAACGCUGGCGGCGUGCCUAAUACAUGCAAGUCGAGCGAACAGACGAGGAGCUUGCUCCUCUGACGUUAGCGGCGGACGGGUGAGUAACACGUGGAUAACCUACCUAUAAGACUGGGAUAACUUCGGGAAACCGGAGCUAAUACCGGAUAAUAUAUUGAACCGCAUGGUUCAAUAGUGAAAGACGGUUUUGCUGUCACUUAUAGAUGGAUCCGCGCCGCAUUAGCUAGUUGGUAAGGUAACGGCUUACCAAGGCGACGAUGCGUAGCCGACCUGAGAGGGUGAUCGGCCACACUGGAACGGAGACACGGUCCAGACUCCUACGGGAGGCAGCAGUAGGGAAUCUUCCGCAAUGGGCGAAAGCCUGACGGAGCAACGCCGCGGGAGUGAGGAAGGUCUUCGGAUCGUAAACCUCUGUGAUUAGGGAAGAACAAAUGUGUAAGUAACUAUGCACGUCUUGACGGUACCUAAUCAGAAAGCCACGGCUAACUACGUG